ensembl:lncRNA
UACCACUGGGUUUUGCUACUUCUUCCACCUCAGUCAGGAAGCAGCUGCCCACUAACCCAUUCCCACUGCCCCUGGGCACAAGCACCCUGGGACAGCCCAGCACGAGGUCUGCAGGACUACUUCCUCCACCAUCUGUCUUUGUAAACAGUUAAUGCUUUGUCCUUCACUUUCCAACCCCCAGCUGUCUCAUUUCAUGCUCUGGAGGAUGGAGAAGGAAAAUCUUAGAAAAGAGGAAGAGCCAGACUUGGAAUGAAAAGGGUUUCUCUUUUUUUUUUUUCCCUUUUAGAAGCUAUACAUAAAAAGUUGUUUUCCUUCUGUACUGUCACAGAACUUUUACAUACAUUCUCAGUCCUAGUCAUGAAAGGCCUAAAGAGAAAGAAACUCAAUUUGCAGUCCAACACAAAGGGGGGAAUUUCUAAAAUAAAUAAUCCAACAGUUUUUUGCAUUUUUUUAAAUUAAUUUUUCAUUUUUUUAAAAUAAAAUAACCAAAAAAGUGUAAAGUUACAAAAAAAUGUCGUUGAAGAAUAAUAUAUUAAAACUGUGGAAAAAAAGGAAAAAGACACGUCACAAAAUUUUAAGAUUAAUAUGAAGAUCAUAAUUUAACAUAAAAGAAUAUAUUCUAUGGAUUUGUCAUCCCGAUAAAUAUGAACAAAAUUAACAAAAAAAAGCAUAGUUUGGCAAUAAAUACGUUUUGAUAAGUUAAAUAAGCUUUUUUAUAUUGAUGUGCAGUGACAAGCAAAAUUUUUGCUCUCCAAUUUCUGAAAGUUAUAUGAAGUUUAAAACCCAGGGAAGAAAGCAUGGCGUGAGUGCUCUAAGGAUAGACCUACGGUAUUCUAGAGCAAAACCAUUAAAGCUACUUCUACAGGAAAUCGUUUUACACAGAUACUGUAUGUGGAAUGAAUACCAUUAACUGCUCACCCCUUACAUUUUUUUUUUUUUAGCUUUUCUCUCAUUUUUUUGUUGUUACUUUUUUAAAAGAUGUCACAUAUGAACUGGGGAACUUUAGCACCAAAAUCAAGUCUCUCAUAGUCCAUCUAGCUUCCCCUUCCUCCCCACUUAAAAAAAGAAAAAAAUUAAUCACAAAGUCCCACUUAAGUCAAAAUCUUCAUCCGCUUUUUCAGCCUUUCUUCCUGCAGACCUACACAAACCCAGGCAAGAUUAGUCAACAGGGGUUCAGAUCGGGAAGAAAAAGGUUUUGAAUGUCAAGAUAGGUUUCCCCAAAAACCCUAGUCUGGCAACAACUCUCCCAAGGGGCUGGGGGGGUCAGGUGGAGAGGUGACACCGGGAAGAGGGGAAGAGUAAGUGAAAUCAGGGAAGGUGCAGUUGUGUCGCCAGUGGAGGGGGCUGCUGGUUCCGGGUCUCCACCUCCCCCAUGGGCAGAGGCUCCGGGAGGCCCACGGGUGCCCUCUGGCGCUGAAGAGGUAAUGUAGUCACAGUGACAAAGUUAGAUUACAAGGCACUAAGUUGCUUCUGUAAACUGUUACUGCUUUUUCUUUUGUGAUUUGGCACUUAAGGCUUAAGCCAGAAAAAAAAAAAAAGAGGCAUCUACUGACAAAAUAUGGGACUUGUCUGUUAUGCGUGAUAAGUGGGCUAUAAAAUCCAGGGAGGGGGUUUCAAGCCAGAAGAAGCUACUGACAAAUUGACUUGUCCUUAUGUUAGGUGGGGUAAUGAUGGGGAGAGGGAGGGGACAUUCUGAGGUGCUGGGGGAAAGGGGUUGAGCUUAACUUUGUUAAUGUAGGACUUGUGGGGAAUCAGAUGGGUAGGGAGAAGAGGGUAUGGGGUGUGGGUGCAGGGUAGGGGUUGGAGUAGGCAGG